rnacentral:rRNA from 1 species
AUGUACUUCGACGGAUCCAAGAUGCUUACAGGCUCGGGGGCUGGGGUCAUCCUUAUUUUUCUCGAAAGCGGCAAGCUCAGAUAUGUACUGCAUAUUCACUUUGCUGCAUCUAACAACGUUGUGGAGUAUGAAGCCUUGUUGCAUGGCUUGUGGAUCGUUGUAUCAUUUGGCUUCCGUGGGCUGCUUUGCAGCGGAGAUUCAGAUCUUGUGGUACAACAAGUCAUGAAGGAUGGUGAUGCCAAGGAUCCUUCCAUGAUCGUAUAUCGAGAGGAAGUCGCAAGCUCGAAAAAAGUUCGAGGGCUUGGAGCUUCAUCAUGUUAG